rnacentral:tRNA from 1 species
CGGGCCGUAGCGCAGCUUGGUAGCGCGCCUGCUUUGGGAGCAGGACGUCGCGGGUUCAAAUCCCGCCGGCCCGA